rnacentral:rRNA from 1 species
GUGGCUAAUUUGACUCAACGCGGGGAAUCUUACCGGGUCCGGACACACUGAGGAUUGACAGACAGUUGUCUUUCCCUCCCUUCGGGGUGGGAUUACAAAAGAUAACAGAUCUUUCAUGAUCAUGUGAUGGGUGGUGCAUGGCCGUUCUUAGUUCGUGGAGUGAUCUGUCUGCUUAAUUGCGUUUCAAAUUUUAUAUUUGUUAACAUGCGAGUCUUCAAUGACGGCCGCUCCACCUUAUAGACAUUAUAUGAUAUGCACAUUUGUGUAUUUGAUUAUAACUUGUCUGGAGUCUGGCUCGAUUUUUUUGACUCAAUUGAACGCAACGGACGUGAUUGCAAGUCCUUGUUGAACAAAUUAUAUAUAUACUACUUCAUCAUUAGUAUAUAUAGUUCGCUUCUCAUGUCGUAGCAGUCAAACGGGCGGGCGUCUUAAUUGGCGCGGUCACGAGGCUUAAUAUGCUGCGGCAGGGAAAACUUGGGCGACCGCUGUAAUACUUCUCUCUUAAACCAGAGGAAGAUUGCGGCAAUAACAGG